GUGGCUUUGGGAAAGAACCCUGAGAGGGAAGGAAAGGGGGCGGGACCGACUGUCAACAAAGGGGGCGUGGUUAUGAAAAACCCUGACAAGGCGGGAAAGGGAGCGCGACUGACUCUCAACAGAGGGGCGUGGCCUUGAAAAAGAACCUUAAGUUAGAACCGACUAUCAACGAAGGGGGCGUGGCUUUGUGUCAGAACCUUGAAGAGAAGCUAAGAAAGGGGGUGUGGCCGGCGGGAGGGAAAAGAGGCGUGGCUACGGAUAAGAGGAAAGAGGCAAUCAGAAAGGGGCGUGGCGAACUCUAAAGAGAAGGCGUGGCUUUGGAGAAGAACGCCGAGGAGAAGGCUAGGCAAGGGGGCGUGGCCGGUGAGGCAGAAAGCGGCGUGGCCGGCGAAGCAGAAAGGGGCGUGGCCUGCGAGGGAGAAAGAGGCGUGGCCGGUGUGGCAGAAAGGGGCGUGGCCUCUCUUCCUCCUCGCCCCCUCCUCCCCCUCCCCCGCGCGCCCUUCCCAGCAUUCCCCGCGCGCGCGACAAUGAAAUUUGCAAAGUUUUUUCGGUUUCGGCGCCAUUUUCGAGUGGAGUCGGAGGGCUUUCUUCAUUAAAUGCAACCAGCAAGGAAUAAAUGCCGGCAAUUCCCUCGUUCCUUGCAAAUCUGUGACGUUUUUGUGAAAAUAUAUUGAAGAAAAGAAAUGCGGGUUGAAGAUUUGCUUUUUUUUCUGAUGCAGAAAGCUCUCCCCAUUCUCUUCUUUGUCAGCACUUUUUAUUGUUCUUUUUUCUAAUGGACCUAAAGCCUUUUUGUUGUUCCUUCUAUAUCUUUUUUAAAAAAGAAAACUUUUCCCUCCGUCUUGAACCUUUGAUACAUGUUAAUCUGCGUUGGCUUUUGCGUUCACUUUCCUGCCUCUUUUUGUCAUUCUUUGUUGUGAUUUAAGACGGAAAACAAUUGCCAGUUCAUCUAUCAAAUAGGUUGGUUCAUCCAUUUGUCUGCCUCUUGAUGAGACGAAUUGCCUCUGACUUCCAAAGUUCCUGUGGCAGCCGAAGAUCCAGUGGCUUUUGCUUUGUAUUCAUUCUUUACAGGUAAGUUUGUUUCAAAGGUGAGGAUCACUGCGGAAAUGAAUGCAGUUUGUCAGCACUUUAACUGCUCAAUGCUAUGGGGGUCCUGGGAGUUGUAGUUUGGCAGGGAAGGCCUAGUGAAACUACAUCUCCCAAUGUUGAGUUAAAUCACAUUAGUUCUACCAUGUAGAUUCUCUUUGAACCCAAAACAAAGUUGGAAUAUAUUAAUAUAUUUGCUUGUCAUGAUAGAAAGACUUAGACUUUGAUGCUCAAAAUACAUCUUUCAAAAAUUAGUGCCUAAAUUGCAUCAGUUUCUAAGACAGUUCUUAGCCCUUUCCAUCCAAGAUAGGAUUAAAAUACAACGUUGUUCUGACUGUAUUAUCUGGAGAUGAUGGGACAACCUUUGGAGUACCGUUCCACCUUUAGGUUUUUACAUUGGCUCAGUUGUGUUUUGGACUGCAGUUCCCAUCAUCCCCCAAGAAGGUGGACCCUAAGUCUUUUAUAGCAGGCACAAAUAUCUACUUGCCAAACCUAUAAACAAAUAUCCCCUUAAUUACAUUAUCUGCGCUGAAAUAUCUUGUUAUUAUAUGUUUAAACAUAAAAUAGUAAUAAUAAUAUAGACUAAAUAUGCUUAGAUUUAAUUGCAAAUGUUUUUAGGAUUCAAAUCCCAGUUCUUAUUCUAUCCUGCCUUUAGAACCAAAACCGGUAAAAUAUAAAGCAAAAGCAGAAAUAUCGAAGCUGGGAGGCCAAGGGUUAAUAAUUUCACUGAACAAAUUUGUAAAUUUAUGGAAAUGGAUGUAAGUGUCCAAAUGUCAAGAAAAGUGCAUUCGUACUGAAUGGAGGUCAUUGUCAAAGCAGAAGUCUGUUCUGAGCCCAUUGUUUACCAGGAGGCAGAGCUGAAUAGUAUGUCGCCUUUUGGCAUCAUAAAUGUUGAAAUUCUGGCCAAAUUGGGGCUCUUUGGGUGGUGUUGGACUAUCAAACCCAUCAGCAAAACAUAUGCGAAAACUAAAUUACCCAGAGGUUUUGUGCAUGAGUUACUUUUAAGAUUACUUUUGGUCCAUCAGCAUCUCAUGGGGUGGGUGAAUCCACAUUGUAGAAUUAAUGUAGUUUCAUACCACUUUUAAUUGCAGUGGCUUAAUGCUAUAGGAACUUGGGAUUUAGUUUGGUGAAGCACCAGGUUUCUUUGACAAAGAAUGCUAAAGACCUUUGGAAAACUACAGAUCCCAUAGCAUUGAGACAUUGCCGUUAAAGUGGUGCCAAACUGCAUUAACUAUACAGUGUAGAUAACCCUCUUUUUCUGUCUUUUGUUUAAAUCUAUCUUUAUUGUUUCUAUAUAUGUCUUUAUAUAUCUCUAUAUCUUUAUUGUUAUUUGUCUAUCCAUCUGUCUGACUGUCUUUAUUGCUUUAUAUAUAUCUAUCUGUCUUUAUUGCUAUCUGUCUUGUUAUCUACCUAUCUAUAGAACAAGAUACUAUGUUAUUAUGAAUAUUAGAUCAGGGGUGCAUCUACACUGUAGAAUUAAUGCAGUUUGAUCGCACUUUAACUGGCAUGGCUCAACUCUAUGGAAUCCUGAGAGUUGCAGUUUUAUAAAAUCUUCAGCCUUCUUUGCCUCAGAAAACUACAACUCCCAGUAUUCAAUAGCAAGGAGCAAGUGUUGCUAAACCGCAUUCAUUCUACCAUGUAGAUGCACCCUCACUUCACGGAGCCGUAGUAUUCACUUUUCUUGCCUUUCCUCUUGCGACGAAUGCCUCCCGGUUCCAGUUUCACUCUUUUUUCUUCUACAAUGGAGGGGGAAACUUUCCAAAUCAUUCUGGACUUUUUGGGGGCUUCAGUUUGCCAGGAGUCCUCAGUCUUGGAUUGUCCUUUGGGCCCGGAGGUGAUGUAGCAGCACAACAUGGUUUGUAGGGACACAGAAGAUACAGACCGUUCUGGGCUGCCUCAUUACCUUUUGGGAUUAAGACACGAAAAGGGAUCUUCUUCCGUUGCCAGGACCAUCAGGUAGGUUCUUGGGCACUUUAUGGCUUGAAACGGCACCAUUCCCCCUCAUUUUGAAAGAACAAAUACAAGAAAACAAAGCAGGGGAAAAUAUCACGGUUGGUUUUCCUUCCUGUCAAAUUAAUGCCCCGGAGUUGCAGUUUGGCAAGUUAGUUGCAGCUCAUUACAAAACGGUAAACUCUCAUAAACCCAUUGAGCUCAAGGGAUGCCGAACUGCAUCUUUUCUACAAUGUAGAUUCACCCUGAAUUUGGAAUAUCAUCCCAUUGAACUCAAUAGGAUUCCAAAUGCAACUGCACUUUUGUACCCCCCCCCCCCUCUGAGACGAAGAGAAAAAUGUUAUGCUUCCUCUGAAAAGGUAGAUUGAGAUCAUGAAAGCUGGGUCUACACUGCCAUAUAAUUGAAUUGCAUUAUAUGGUCAGUGUAGACCCGUGUAAUGCAGUCCAAACGGUCUUCAUUAGCCCUAUAAUGCUGUUUGAACUGCAUUAUAUGGCAGUGUAGACCCAACCGAAAGCACUAUAAGAUCCCUUUGCAUUAUAAAAGGGUCUUGGUAUCUGUUGGGGUUUUAUUUUAUUUUGCUUUAUAUUUGAUCUUACUUUAUUUUAUCUUAUUUUAAUUUACUUGACUUUAUUUUGUUACUAUUUUAUUUUAUCUAAUUUUAAUUUGCUUGACUUUUUUAUUUUUUUAUUUUAAUUUGAGAGGUUUGGAAGCUGACUCCAAAAAGGAGAGAGAGAGAGAGGUUCAAAAACUCAUUUUGUUUUUUUAGAAUUUAAGGGGGGAAAAGGAGACCCCUUUGAAAGUUUAGGGGGUUGGAAUAUUACCCUCCAAAUAUUAUUAAAACAUAUUCUUGUUAUCUUAAGGAAAGGGACAAAAAGAUUACCUGAGCAAAAUUGAUUUCUGGAUUUUGGAGUUUAGGAAGCAAGGAAACCCCUUGUUUAAUCCCUUAUCACUCUGAUACCUAUAUUAAAAAAUUAAAAAAUAUUAACGCUUCCCAGAAAGGGAUGCGUCUGUCCGCCCGGCUCUAGCAGCACGUAAAUACUGGAGUCUAGGAUGAUACAUUUGCCCUCCAGUAUUGCUUUGCUGCUUUAAUCGGGUUUGAUGUUGGCACCAGCCCGGCAAAACAUGGAAAAGGUUUGUUUGUGGCGGCCUGUUUGUUGAUUGGGGAGAAAUAGCUCCAUUGAGAUCCUCAGCUUCAUCGUCUUGUCCAUCCUUCACAUCUUGGUUUAUUGCUUUAUUGUGGGUUGAUGGCCCCUUUAAAUCCCCCUCUGACUCAUGUUCUUUGGGACAAUAUGGUGUAACAUUACACUAAUGCCAUCCCACCACAGAUUAAAGGAACAAUAUAUACAUAUACACAUGCAUAUAUCGACAUACAAAUUACGGGGAAGUUAAACCUUUUCAAGGUCUUAAGCUAACUCAAAGCCAGUCUAAAUGUAUUAUUAUUAUUAUUAAUGUGGCUGUUUAAAAGGAUAAGUCUUUGUCUGAAGCCACUUUGUUUCUCUAUCAAUAAUAAUAAUAGUUUGAGAAGGUCUCAGAGUUUGCACUCAGAUAUGGAAAUCCAUUGGGUGACUUUGGGCAAGUCACACUCUUGGCGUCAAAAGAAGGCAAUGGCAAGUGCUUUCUGACCACACAUUGCCUUUUAAAAAGCCAAUGUGUGAGAGCAAAGCUGGAAUUCAGACACUGAACUGUUUUCAACCUCAGGAGAAGGCAAUGGCAAGCCUUUGAAGCUGGCGGCCAUCAAUCAGAAUCAAAGGUACAUCACAACAAAGGGAUCCUAAUAGCCCAUUACAGCAAUACGGAUCCAAGUGUUAGCAGAUAGAGGAGUAAAGAGGUAAUUAAACCAAAGGUUUAAAAAGUCUGCAUAAAAAAGGUAAGAUUAACCAACACAAAUAUCUAUAACUGCAUAAUACAAUAAGAUCAAAAACAUCAACUUGGAAUGGGUUUAAGGGUUGUUAAAUCCUGGAUCCAGACAUUACAGAACUCUGCAGUGUUAAUUCCCAUAGACGUCAAUUCACUUGUGAAAAUGUAACGGCAUUCUGUCCCCAUCUAAAAAUAUGUUUGCGGCUUUUUAUAAAAACAUAUUUUAAUUGUAGGCUAAAGAAUGGAAAUUGUUGGUUUUGGGUUACGUUCUCCUGGGUUUGCGAUGGUUCCACAUUUUGUCAAUGGAAGGAAGUCCUCCCAAAUUGAGAAAGUCCUGAAAACUCAGAGGUUGCUCCAUGGUUGGGGUUUUUUUUUUUCUUUGCCGCAGAGAAGCACCGCAUGAUGGACUGUUUGUAAUUUGGUGUAUUUUAUCUUGAAACCCCAUUAAAACUCAAACGAAAACUCUGUCCAUAUUGAGAGUUUGCAGAAUUACAAGAGAGAUUUGCCUAAAACACCAUACAAAGUCUAGUUCUUUCAUGCGAAACUGGAGGAAGAAUAGAAAGGCAGGAUAUACACAUCCAAAGAAUUAACAGUUUGGCCUUUUCUACCACAAGUCUGUUGAUAUCUUUGCAUAUCUCCAGUUUGGGAAGCUAGGGUAUUGUCUUGUGUAUGACUCUUGGUGAAACCUUUCAAAUAACUCCUGGAAAACUUACAGCAGUUUGGGAAACUCCCAAUUUAGGAGGACAUAAUACCGAUCUGUGGGAAGAUCCUUAUGUUGUCGAAGGCUUUCAUGGCCGGAAUCACUGGAUUGCUGUGAGUUUAUGGGCUGUACAGCCAUGUUGCAGAAGCAUUCUCUCCUGAUGUUUCACCCACAUCUAUGGCAGGCAUCCUCAGAGGCUGUAAUGUCUGUUGGGGACAAGGCAUGUGGGGUUUAUAUAUCUGUGGAAUAAUGUCCAGGGCGAGAGAGAGAAAACUGUUGGAGGCAAGUGUGAAUGUUGCAGUUAAUCACCUUCAUUAGCAUUGAAUGGCCUUAUAGCUUCAAAAUCUGGCUGCUUCCUACCUGGGAAUCCUUUGUUGGGAGGUGUUCGCUUGAUUGUUUCAUGUCUGGAAUUCCCGUGUUUUCUGAGUACUGUAUUGUUCUUUACUGUCCUGAUCUUAAGAGUUUUUUAAUAUUAGUAGCCAAACUUCGAUCAUUUUGAUGUCUGAAAAUCAGGACAGUAAAUAAAGAACAAUACUCCGAAAACGGGAGAAUUCCAGACAUGAAACAAUCAAGGCCAGCUAACACCUCCCAACAAAGGAUUCCCCCAGGCAGGAAAUAGCCAGGCUUUGAAGCUGCAAGGCUUUUCAAUGCUAAUCAAGGUGAUUAAUUGCAACAUUCACACUUGCCUCCAACAGACAAGAGUUCUUUCUCCCACCCUGGACAUUCCACGCAUGCAUAAACCUCCCUUGCUUAGUUUCCAAAAUACCUCACAACCUCUGAGGAUGCCUGCCAUAGAUGUGGGUGAAACGUCAGGAGAGAAUGCUUCUGGAAGAUGGCCAUGCAGCCUGGAAAACUCACAGCAACCCAGUGAUUAUGACCACGAAAGCCUUCUGCAACAUGUUGGGAAAAUCUUUGAAAUAAGUCCUGGAAACCUUGCAUCAAGUUUGGAAACGCCCAAUUUAGGAGGGCAUCAUAAUAUGGAUUUGUGGGAAGAUCCUUCCUUGCUUGAGGAGGGCGGUGUUCCUUUAAUGCAAAGGAUUGGUAUUAAAUAUCUCUUGGAAAGCAAGGGCAAUUCAUACAACUGGAAGGGAUCCCCAAAGGCCAUCCAGCCCAGCCCUCUUUUCUACGGGGAAAGGAGAGACAAGACAAGCCAUCCAGCUUUUGAUUAAAGACACUCCAGAGAAGACAUUCCACUUCUCAACAUCUGCAGCUGUCAAAAAAAGCCUUGAAAAGUAGCAAAAGUCUCCUACGUUUAACCCCAAAGACAAAUAUAAAUGCUUAGCAGCAGCCCCUUUCCCUUAUUCCUGGGUGAUUCCAUGGGACCCAAACUUGGCACCUGUUUCCCUUCCCAUUUGCGCCCCGACGCGCUCCAGGAAUAGGAGCUUUUCCCGGCUUUUCCUUUUGUGGCGACUUUAUACUAAAUGUGGGCGACAAUCCUAUUGGCAUGGGCUCUAGUUCCCCCUUGGAACCCUCCUCCGGGUUUUAGUUCUGUGGGAAAGAGCUUUCCAAGUCUCCAUCCUGGGGAGAUAAGUUGCAAAAUGCCAGCUGGUUCUAAUGCGCGAAUAAGAAAAGCACUCAAACCUUUCUCCCUCUUUCCCUGGAAAGUGAGGCUUGGAGCGGCUUUGCUUUCCUUGGCGGAAGGGCUGGGUUAGUAAGCUGUCGCUUGGAGCGUGAUGAUCCCGAAAGAGCUUAGCAUUGGGAAAUGAAAGGAGAGAGAUGCGUAAAGCGCGCAAAAGCCGCCUCCGCUUUCUGUCCGCUAUGUCUCCGAAUUUUGCGUCGGAGGGAGAGGAGGAUACGUUUGGAUGAAGCUCUGCAUCCUCAUCUUGGAUGGCGAAAGAACACCCCCAACUCCCUCCCCGAAAUCCUUGCUCUCCUGAAGUCGGAAGAUGAGAGGAGAUGGUGCCAAGGAGGGGCAUUUGUGCGCCUUUGGGGGUCCUCUUCUGUCCCGAAGCUGAGCCUUACCCACUUGCUACUUUUAUGGGGUUAGAAAGAGAAGGAAUGGGCUGCUGUGGGUAUUCUGGGCUUUCUGGCCAUGUUCCAGAAGCAUACUCUCCUGACGUUUUGCCCACAUUUAUGGCACGCAUCCUCAGAGGUUGUGAAGUCUGUUGGAAACUGGGCAAAUGGUUUAUACAUCUGUGGGAGAAAGAACUUGUGUUGUCAAAGGCUUUCAUGGCCGGGAUCACAGGGUUGUUGUAUGUUUUCCGGGCUGUAUGGCCAUGUUCCAGAAGUCUUCUCUCCUGACGUUUCGCCCACAUCUAUGGCAGGCAGCCUCACAACCUCUGAGGAUGCCUGCCAUAGAUGUGGGCGAAACGUCAGGAGAGAAUACUUCUGUAACAUGGCCAUACAGCCCGGAAAACAUACUAUUUAUUUGUUUAUUUAUUUCUAGAAUUUAUAUCCCGCUCUUCUCACCCGGGGGGACUCAGGGCAGCUUACACAGUUGGCAACAUUUAAUGCCAAGAACAUAAUAAAACAAAAACAGUACAUAUAAUCAAUUAAAACUAUAAAAAUACAUUAUAAAAAUUAAAACAUAUGUAAAUUAGAUCCAUUUGUCUAAAAACCUCAUGCUUCAGCCUUCAAUCGGACCAUGUCGACGUUAUAAUAUUACUCGUUAAAAGCUUGUGCACACAGCCAUGUUUUCACAGCCUUUCUGAAACCCAGAAGAGUUGGGGCUUGUCGGAUAUUUGUGGGGAGGGUGUUCCACAGCCGGGGAGCCACCACCGAGAAGGCCUUGUCCCUCGUUCCCACAACCCAAAGAACUCUUUGUUUCAUGCGGAUAUGAAUGUUGCAGUUGGCCCGCUAGAUUAGCAUUGAAUAGCCUUGCAGCUUCAAAGCCUGGCUGCUUCCUGCCUGGGGGAAUCCUUUGUUGGGAGGUGUUAGCUGGCCCUGAUUGUUUCCUGUCUGGCAUUCCCGAUUUCUGAGUGUUGCUCUUUCUUUACUGUGCCAAAUUAGAGGUUUUUAAAAUACAAUAGAGUCUCACUUAUCCAAGCUAAACAGGCCGUGAGAAGCUUGGAUAAGCGAAUAUCUUGGAUAACAAGGAGGGAUUAAGGAAAAGCCUACUAAACAUCAAAUUAGGUUAUGAUUUUAUAAAUUAAGCACCAAAAUAUGUUAUACAACAAAUUUGACAGAAAAAGUAGUUCAAUAUGCAGUAAUGUUAUAUUGUAAUUACUGUAUUUACGAAUUUAGCUCCGAAAUGUCAUGAUAUAUUGAAAACAUUGGCUUCAAAAAUGGCUUGGAUAAGUGAGAGACUACUGUACUGGUAGCCAGACUGUUCAUUAUCAUUGUUUCCUCCUUUCUGUUGAAAUUGUCCACAUGCUUGUGGACUUCAAUAGCUUCUCUCUGUAGCCUGACAUCGUGGCUGUUGGGAGUGGUACAGCAGUAUUAUAUUCUCAAAUAAUAUGUUGUGUUCACGCCAUGAAAGCCUUCGACAACACAUAGGUUGAAUUGGUUGAGACCCUAUGAGAUAUUCAUUGAAAACCCGGAACAAAAUGUGCUAAUGAUGUCCCACAAAAACAAGUUUUUGCAGUUUAAUAAAGUUUCCACAUUUGUAUGAUAGAACCAAUUCAGAAAUGACAUUUAUAACCCAGGAACAACAAUCGUGUUACAUAGUGUAAUGUUUUUCUUCAUUUGAGUCCCCUGGGAUUGAGAGGGGGGAAUACAAAUAAAGUCAUUAUUAUUAUUA